GAUGAACGCUGGCGGCGUGCUUAACACAUGCAAGUCGAACGAGAAGUGAAGACGGAAACCUUCGGGCGGAAGGCUUUAUUUCGAGUGGCGGACGGGUGAGUAACGCGUGGGUAACCUGCCUCAUACAGGGGGAUAACAGUUGGAAACGACUGUUAAUACCGCAUAAGACCACAGCACCGCAUGGUGCGGGGGUAAAAACUCCGGUGGUAUGAGAUGGACCCGCGUUCGAUUAGCCAGUUGGCGGGGUAACGGCCCACCAAAGCGACGAUCGAUAGCCGAUCUGAGAAGAUGACCGGCCACAUUGGGACUGAGACACGGCCCAAACUCCUACGGGAGGCAGCAGUGGGGAAUAUUGCACAAGGGGGGAAGCCCUGAUGCAGCGACGCCGCGUGAGUGAAGAAGUAUUUCGGUAUGUAAAGCUCUAUCAGCAGGGAAGAAAAUGACGGUACCUGAGUAAGAAGCCCCGGCUAACUACGUG
rnacentral:rRNA from 1 species